CGUUCACUGCGCUUCAUGCAGUUGUAGCACGGACUAACUAGUUCUUAAUCUGUGGUUAUAACCACGGUCUGUUAGUAUAUUACUGAUCCCACGUUUUUAUUUUCUAAACCAAGAUGCCUUGCGGAGGAUGUGGUGAUGGUUGUAAAUGUACCACAACGCAGUGUUGUCAGACCUGCAAAUGCGACACGUCAUGCUCUUGCAGCUGCAAGCGGUCUACGGAUGCUUCCACAGGCACCACGAAAAAAUAGAUAUAAGUCCACAAUUAACAAUUCACUUAUAUAAUAAUUACCUUUUUCGUAUUCAUCAUGUAAUUAAAAUUGCGAUCGAUUCAUAUCCUGCAGGUGUGUAUAAAAAUUCCAUGUAAAAUGUCGGAUGCGGUUUUUACACGGUAAUACAUUUUGUUAUUACGUAAGUUCAUAAGUAUUAAAAUAGUUAUGUUAUUUUUAACAUCGAAUAAAUGCCUCAGAUAAAUCAUUGUUAA